rnacentral:ncRNA from 1 species
GUCGUAUAAAGAUGUAUUAGAUGCAAGACAAUCUAGCAUUUCCCUUUACGGCAUUGUAUAAAAUAUUAGAAGUUCAAAUAACAAUAGUUGUUGUAUGGUAAAUAAUCGAAACAGUUUGAGUUUGAAUGGAAUAGGUUAUCUGUAUGACCUUGGGUUGAAAAACACUAAAAAUAAUCUCAUAAUAAUGAUUUCGGAAUUUUCGUUAUUUUGAGUUACAGUGGA